UGUUCAAAGUAACAUUCAAUGCAUAGGGC
rnacentral:sRNA from 1 species